CCGCAGUCUUCCCCCACACGUGGAUGGCCUCUGAACUCGUGUGCUCGUGCAAGCCCACCGAGGGUGCCACGCAGACCUAGGAGGUCACAGGCGGGCUUGGCCGGGAGGGACAGGGCAGGGUGCGGGGGCUUGUGGCGGAGGGGCCCUUCCUCUACCCUCCUCAGGAAAGCCACCCACUUCCCAUCCAGGGUCCCUGUUAGAAUCAGGAGCGUUUGGCCCUUCAGAGGGCGGCCGAGGCUCGUGCAUUCUGGAAGAGCUGCGUGGCUGCGCAGACACACCGGCCUCCGGGCAGGAGGAGUUCUGUUCCCGUGCAGUGGGUGUGGAAGCCGACCUGAGCCCUCGGGGGUGUGGGGGGCUCCAGCCUCAGCCCAAAUCACCGGGUGGCCCGGGUGUGUCCCUCCUCACCUCCAUGGUCCUCUGUGAGACGGGAGGGCUGCUGAGAUCACAUCCAGGAUCCCAUCCGCCCUGGUGCGCUCCAGCUUGGGCUCCUCCCACUGGCAGAAGCAACCGGCUCACGCCUGUGGGAGAAGCGCGCAGGCUCUUCCUGCGGGAAGGCAGCUGUGGCCUUUGUCCCGGGUCAGUUCCGGGGCGGCUGGUGGUGCUGCUGCUCCAUCGUGGGACAGGGCCUGCCUGGAUGCAGUGUCUCACACUGGGCCUGACUGUGCCCCACGCGGGCUGGGCUGUCAGGGCAUGACCUCUAAUGCCCUUGGGGGUGGAGCCGCUGCGUUCCCAUUUCCAAGAGAAGAAAAUUGAGUCUUGGCAAAGCUGACCCCCUCUCCUAGAGGUGCUGCUCCAGCACCCCCAUCCCCAGGCCAUGGGUCCAGCAGGCUGAGGAGGCGUGAAGCCUGGGAGGGCGGCCGUCUGCCCACUGCUCUUCCCUGCUAUCCUGGCCACAGCUGCUCUGUUUUGGGGAGGAGGUGGCUUUUCCGAGAGUGGGGGAGUUGUCUGUGAAAACAAGGGCGUGAGCAGCUUUCCACAGCACCCCAGACCCCGAGGGCAAGAGGAGAAGCCGCCACAUGGCACGUGUGCUCUGGGCAGUCGGGGUCAGGGUGAUCACCGCGGGCCGGGGCCCCCGCCCUCCCUCUCCUGACCUGCGUGCUCUUUUCCAGCUUGCGGGAAGUUGACGGGCAUCAGUGACCCCGUGACUGUCAAGACCUCCGGCUCGAGGUUCGGAUCCUGGAUGACAGACCCUCUCGCCCCCGAAGGCGAUAACCGGGUGUGGUACAUGGACGGCUAUCACAACAACCGCUUCGUACGUGAGUACAAGUCCAUGGUUGACUUCAUGAACACGGACAAUUUCACCUCCCACCGUCUCCCCCACCCCUGGUCGGGCACGGGGCAGGUGGUCUACAACGGUUCUAUCUACUUCAACAAGUUCCAGAGCCACAUCAUCAUCAGGUUUGACCUGAAGACAGAGACCAUCCUCAAGACCCGCAGCCUGGACUAUGCCGGUUACAACAACAUGUACCACUACGCCUGGGGUGGCCACUCGGACAUCGACCUCAUGGUGGACGAGAGCGGGCUGUGGGCCGUGUACGCCACCAACCAGAACGCUGGCAACAUCGUGGUCAGUAGGCUGGACCCCGUGUCCCUGCAGACCCUGCAGACCUGGAACACGAGCUACCCCAAGCGCAGCGCCGGGGAGGCCUUCAUCAUCUGCGGCACGCUGUACGUCACCAACGGCUACUCAGGGGGCACCAAGGUCCACUACGCAUACCAGACCAAUGCCUCAACCUACGAAUACAUCGACAUCCCCUUCCAGAACAAAUACUCCCACAUCUCCAUGCUGGACUACAACCCCAAGGACCGGGCCCUGUAUGCCUGGAACAACGGCCACCAGAUCCUCUACAACGUGACCCUCUUCCACGUCAUCCGCUCCGACGAGUUGUAGCUCCCUCCUCCUGGAAGCCAAGGGCCCACGUCCUCACCACAAGGAAACUCCUGUGAAGCCGCUGCCAAAAAGAUACCAAUAAUACUAACAAUACCGAUCUUGAAAAAUCAUCAGCAGUGCGGAUUCUGACAUCGAGGGAUGGCAUUACCUCCGUGUUUCUCCCUUUCGAGCCGGCGGGCCACAGACGUCGGAAGAAACUCCCGUAUUUGCAGCUGGAACUGCAGCCCACGGCGCCCCGGUUUUCCUCCCCGCCCUGUCCCUCUCUGGUCAAACAACAUACUAAAGAGGCGAGGCAAUGACUGUUGGCCAGUUCUCACCGGGGAAAAACCCACUGUUAGGAUGGCAUGAACAUUUCCUUAGAUCGUGGUCAGCUCCGAGGAAUGUGGCGUCCAGGCUCUUUGAGAGCCGUGGGCCGCACCCGGCCGUAGGCUAGUGUAACUCGCUUCCCAUCGCAGUGCCGUUUCUUGACUGUGUUGCUGUCUCUUAGAUUAACCGUGCUGAGACUCCACGUAGCUCCUGGACCUGUGUCUAGUACAUACUGAAGCGAUGGUCAGAGUGUGUAGAGUGAAGUUGCUGUGCCCACGUUGUUUGAACUCGCGUACCCCGUAGAUAUAUUGUGCCACGUUCUUCUGUUAUUCCCUUGAGGUGGUAACUUCGUAUGUUCAGUUUAUGCAAUGAUUGUUGUAAAUGCAAUGCCGUAGUUUGGAUUAAUAAGUGGAUGGUUUUUGUUUCU
rnacentral:sRNA from 1 species